rnacentral:tRNA from 1 species
GGUAGGGUGGCCGAAAUAGGCGGCGGAUUGUAGCUCCGUAGAUAGGGGUUCAAACCCUCUUCCUAUC